rnacentral:rRNA from 1 species
UACGGAGGGAGCUAGCGUUGUUCGGACUUACUGGGCGUAAAGCGCACGUAGGCGGCUUUGUAAGUUAGAGGUGAAAGCCCGGGGCUCAACCCCGGAAUUGCCUUUAAGACUGCAUCGCUUGAAUCCAGGAGAGGUGAGUGGAAUUCCGAGUGUAGAGGUGAAAUUCGUAGAUAUUCGGAAGAACACCAGUGGCGAAGGCGGCUCACUGGACUGGUAUUGACGCUGAGGUGCGAAAGCGUGGGGAGCAAACAGG